AGAUCCUUGUAAUCCAGAGCCAUGAGAUCUUGUUCAACAUGUUUGUCCCACUUGGUAGGCGUGUUUUAAUUUAAGGUUUUGCCAUAGAAGAGCAGUAUCUUGAAGAAGACCUGGGAAAAACAAGUGGAGGCAGUGAUGACAAAGAAUGAUACAGUAUGCACCAUAUCAUGAACAGCAAAACAAUGAAUUAUGCAAUCUGAACCUCAUAUUGCAUUAUACAUGAUAUAAACAUUAUUCUUAGAAGAAGGGGAAAAAGUAUGGAAACAUGAAACAAUCUUUGAGGUGCAUAAACUAUGACCAACAUCAGUGGUGGCUUUGUGGUGAUUUGAAGGUUGUUGCUCUCUUGCUUGGUCUGCAGACUGGAUACAGAAAGUACAGCAGUUUUCUAUGCAAAUGGGAUAGUCAUGCAAGAGAGUCCCACUACAUCAAGACAGAUUGACCACUCUGACAGCCUUUGUAGCCUGGGAGGAAAAGUUUUCAUCACUUGUUGAAUCGAGGAAGAUUUUGUUUCCAUCCUUAUACACCAGACUGGGUCCGAUGAAGAACUUUGUUUCCCCCACCAAACUGCAGGACAGUGAGCAACAACCAUGGCAAGCAAUUUCACCAGGAUAUUGUAACAAUGAAGAAAUGCUGCCAGGGCAAAUCGAGCCCAUCAGUGCUUGCAGACUAUUGCUGGACAGUGACAAGAGAUGCUCAGUUUAAUGAAUGCAAAAGACAAGACAAGAAGUGCCAAGUAGAAAGUGAAUAGGACUGAAAUGUGUACAUAAUAGUUGGUUUGUUUGUUUGUUUUUUAUUUUUUUGCCUUUUGUUUCAUAAUGAAUUUUAUUUAUAUAACCGUCCUGCUGAUUUUUAAACAUAAACAAGACAGGUGAAAUAUUAUUAUUUAAAGCGACCAUAAACACAUGAAAAGACCUAGGUCCACAAUUUAUGAUUAAAACUACUAUCUAAACAAUAUAGAUAAAGGUAAAGGUUCCCCUUGACAUUUAGUCCAAUUGUGUCUGAC